GACGAACCGAGCGAACGUUGUUCGGAAUCACUGGGCUUAAAGGGCGCGUAGGCGGGCUGUCAAGUCUGGGGUGAAAUCCCGCGGCUCAACCGCGGAACUGCCUCAGAUACUGACGGUCUCGAGGGGGGUAGGGGCGAGCGGAACUGAUGGUGGAGCGGUGAAAUGCGUUGAUAUCAUCAGGAACUCCGGUGGCGAAGGCGGCUCGCUGGACCUCUUCUGACGCUGAGGCGCGAAAGCUAGGGGAGCAAACAGG
rnacentral:rRNA from 1 species